UACGUAGGGGGCUAGCAUUGUCCGGAAUCAUUGGGCGUAAAGCGCGUGUAGGCGGUCCGGUAAGUCCGCUGUGAAAGUCGGGGGCUCAACCCUCGAAUGCCGGUGGAUACUGUCGGGCUAGAGUGCGGAAGAGGCGAGUGGAAUUCCUGGUGUAGCGGUGAAAUGCGCAGAUAUCAGGAGGAACACCUAUUGCGAAGGCAGCUCGCUGGGACGUAACUGACGCUGAGACGCGAAAGCGUGGGGAGCAAACAGG
rnacentral:rRNA from 1 species